CCGUUCAGGGGUAAACCUGAGAAACCCAAAAGAUCGAAUGGGGAGAUUCAUCGUCAGCUCAUUUUGUAUAUGUAUGANGUUAUGAUGCGAGUUACUCUNUGUAGUAUUGCUUGCACGUACUUAUACAUUUAUUUGCAAGAUGUUGUCGGCGUGCACUUCUCCCCUAGUAGAACGUCGCGACCCGUUGGGUGUCGGUCUACGACCCGAGUGGUAGACUUUAAUAUUUUNAUAAUAUUAAAGACCCUUGGUGUUUUCUGACCGGCUGCCCGGCGGUACUCGUACGGUAUUUAGCCGCAAUUUAUUUNGCGUCCAUGUCCGUCGCAAGCGAGGCUAAUUUCUGGUAGUNACGGACCUAGUGCCGUCGCUGGGAUUGGCCAGCUGUUGGUUGUAUGGAAUUCUAGGACUGGCUAAAAUAAUUACCGGU
rnacentral:rRNA from 1 species